rnacentral:rRNA from 1 species
UACGUAGGGGGCAAGCGUUGUCCGGAAUCAUUGGGCGUAAAGAGCGCGUAGGCGGUCCGGUAAGUCCGCUCUGAAAGUCCGGGGCUCAACCCCGGGAGGCGGGCGGAUACUGUCGGGCUAGAGUCCGGAAGAGGCGAGUGGAAUUCCUGGUGUAGCGGUGAAAUGCGCAGAUAUCAGGAGGAACACCGAUGGCGAAGGCAGGUCUCUGGGCCGAUACUGACGCUGAGGAGCGAAAGCGUGGGGAGCGAACAGG